rfam:Mesorhizobium sp. B7, complete genome.
UUCCGGUUGUCCAAAGACCGGGGUUACUGAAGAGGCACACCAUCAUUGCCGACAGUGCGGACGGGGCUCCCUUCCAAAGCUGAGGCAGACAAAGCGAGCGCCGGCUGAACAGCCGUCACUCAUCGCCGCGCAAAGCGGGUUCCUGGUACCGG